CACACGCCCGUCACACCAUGGGAGUUGGUUUUACCUGAAGACGGUGCGCUAACCAGCAAUGGAGGCAGCCGGCCACGGUAGGGUCAGCGACUGGGGUG
rnacentral:rRNA from 1 species